GAUGAACGCUGACAGAAUGCUUAACACAUGCAAGUCAACUUGAACUUCGGUUUGGGUGGCGGACGGGUGAGUAACGCGUAAAGAACUUGCCUCACAGAUAGGGGCAACAUUUGGAAACGAAUGCUAAUACCUGAUAUUAUGAUUAUAUGGCAUCGUAUAAUUAUGAAAGCUAUAUGCGCUGUGAGAGAGCUUUGCGUCCCAUUAGCUAGUUGGAGAGGUAACGGCUCACCAAGGCGAUGAUGGGUAGCCGGCCUGAGAGGGUGAUCGGCCACAAGGGGACUGAGACACGGCCCUUACUCCUACGGGAGGCAGCAGUGGGGAAUAUUGGACAAUGGACCAAGAGUCUGAUCCAGCAAUUCUGUGUGCACGAUGAAGUUUUUCGGAAUGUAAAGUGCUUUCAGUUGGGAAGAAAAAAAUGACGGUACCAACAGAAGAAGAGACGGCUAAAUACGUG
rnacentral:rRNA from 1 species